GGGCCCGUAGCUCAGUGGAUAGAGCGUUCGCCUCCGGAGCGAAAGGUCGUGGGUUCGAACCCCAUUGGGCCCA
rnacentral:tRNA from 1 species